UACAUAUUUAACUAGGCAAGUCAGUUAAGAACAAAUUUACAAUGAAGGCCUACCAAAAGGCCUCCUGCAGGGACGGAGGCCCGGGAUUAAAAAGAAAUAUAAGACAAAACACUACAUAAAGAGAGACCUAAGACAACAUUUAUUAUAUACAUAUUUUAAAACUUUAUUUAACUAUGGAAGUCAGUUAAGAACAAAUUAUUUUUUACAAUGACGGCCUACCAAAAGGCCUUGUGGAGACGGGGACCUGGGAUUAAAAUAAAUAAAUACAAUAUAGGACAAAAACACACAUCACAACAAGAGACACAACACUACUUAAAGAGAUACCCAAGACAACAACAUGGUAGAGACAACAUAUACAUCAUACGAAGCAGCUACAACUGUCAGUAAGCAUAUCCAUGAUUGAGUCUUUGAAUAAAGAGACGAGAAAACUGUCCAGUUUGAGUGUUGGUUGCAGCUCGUUCCAGUAGCUAGCUGCAGUGAACUGAAAAGAGGAGCGACCCAGGGAUGUGUGUGCCUUGGGGACCUUUAACAGAAUGUGACUGGCAGAACAGGUGUUGUUUGUGGGGGAUGAGGGCUGCAGUAGAUAUCUCAGAUAGGGGGGAGUGAGGCCUAAGAGGGUUUUAUAAACAAGCAUCAACUAGUGUGUCUUGCGACAGGUAUACAGAGAUGACCAGUUUACAGAGGAGUAUAGAGUGCAGUGAUGUGUCCUAUAAGGAGCAUUGGUAGCAAAUCUGAUGGCCGAAUGGUAAAGAACAUCAAGCCGCUCGAGAGCACCCUUACCUGCAUAUCUAUAAAUUACGUCUCCGUAAUCUAGCAUGUGUAGGAUGGUCAUCUGAAUCAGGUUUAGUUUGGCAGCUGGGGUGAAAGAGGAGCGAUUACAAUAGAGAAAACCAAGUCUAGAUUUAACUUUAGCCUGCAGCUUUGAUAUGUGCUGAGAGAAGGACAGUGUACUGUACAGCCAUACUCCCAAGUACUUGCAGGGAGAAGCAUCGGGGAUAGUCACAUUAGAAGGGGUGGGAGAUGAGGAAAUGUGAUGGGCAAGGAGGCAUGGCUGAGUCAAAUAAGCAUCCUGACUUAAUGAAGUGGUGAUUAAAGAGCUCAGCCAUGUGCUCCUUGUCAGUAACAACCACAUCAUCAACAUUAAUGGACAUGUGCUCCUUGUCAGUAACAACCACAUCAUCAACAUUAAUGGACAUGGGCUCCUUGUCAGUAACAACCACAUCAUCAACAUUAAUGGACAUGGGCUCCUUGUCAGUAACAACCACAUCA
ensembl:lncRNA